UAUCGCAUCCUAUGCAUACGUAUCUCCUUUGGACGAAGGAGAAUCAGAGCAUUCGUAGCUCGGCUAACACGCACAUAAACAAACACAGGCAAGGGCAAACGUGGAGCCUGAAUGCCAAUCACUGGACUUAUAUCAGCAUCCGAACCAAAACGCACUCAAGAAGGCAAACAUGGAGCCCGACUGCCAAUCACUGGACUUACGUCGGCAUCCGAACCAAAAACACGCACUAACACUGGAACCCGAAUGCCACUCGAUGGACUUACAUCAGCUUCCAAG
rnacentral:lncRNA from 1 species